GGUCAAGCGACUAAGUGCAUGUGGUGGAUGCCUUGGCGAUCACAGGCGAUGAAGGACGUUGCAGCGUGCGAAAAGCCACGGGGAGCUCGCAAACAAGCUUUGAUCCGUGGAUGUCCGAAUGGGGAAAC
rnacentral:rRNA from 1 species